GUGGGCUUUGCAGUCGUUGAAGCCCAGGAUGAAGGCGGCAGCGACGAUAUCGAUGGCCUCCCUCUCAAACUCUAUAGAGGUUCGAAACUCCUCGAUACAAUGUGCUCGGACAUUGAAAGGAAUCUGCUCGAAUUGGAGGGUAAAUCCACCCCCAGAAGAUGGUGGUGAGCUAGAGCGGGAGGGUGCCAUCUGAGAGGAUGACGGACCGA
rnacentral:lncRNA from 1 species